rnacentral:rRNA from 1 species
UACGGGGGGGGCAAGCGUUGUUCGGAAUUACUGGGCGUAAAGGGCUCGUAGGCGGCCAACUAAGUCAGACGUGAAAUCCCCCGGCUCAACCGGGGAACUGCGGGGCAUACUGCGGGUCUUGAGGAAGGUAGGCGCCGAGGGAACAGUAGGUGGAGCGGUGAAAUGCGUAGAUAUCUACUGGAACGCCGAUGGUGAAGACGCUCGGCUGGGCCUUUCCUGACGCUGAGGCACGAAAGCGUGGGGAGCAAACAGG